CUUGAACAAGUCAAAUGUAACCCAGAUCCCGCUUAAAUUCCAAGCACAGACGCACUUUUUUCUUUUUUUUUUUAAUACAAACAAUAUAAAUAUUUUCUGCAUAUAUACAUAUAUAUAUGAUGCAAGCGUAUAUAUAGUUAUAUGCGUUAUAGAUAGAUAUAUCUCUGCUUUGCUUUAGAAUUGUUGAAGAUGAGUGGAGCUGGGGAAUCGUUUCAUUCUCCAACAACUAGGGACCUAUUGGCCGACGCUGUUGCUGGAGCUUCAGCUGGCGCAAUUGCAGCGAUUUUUGUGUGCCCUUUGGAUGUGAUCAAGACGAGAUUACAAGUACAUGGUCUCCCUCAAGGUUCACAGACCAGUCGUAGAGGUAGUGUCAUUAUUACAAGUCUACAGCACAUAUUAAAGAAUGAAGGCUUCAAGGGAAUGUAUCAUGGCCUCUCGCCAACGAUACUGGCAUUACUUCCAAAUUGGGCUGUAUACUUCACAGUUUACGGGCAACUUAAAGGCCUACUCCAUUCACAUGGGGAUAGCAAUAAUCGGCUCACACUAGGAAACAAUAUGAUAGCUGCUGCUGGUGCUGGGGCUGCCACAGCCAUCACGACAAAUCCAUUGUGGGUUGUUAAGACCAGACUCCAAACUCAGGGAACGAGGCCGGAUAUAGUUCCAUACAAAAGCAUACUUUCUGCUUUGAGAAGGAUUACACACGAAGAAGGGAUUUGUGGUUUGUAUAGUGGUAUUCUGCCUUCAUUGGCUGGGAUUAGUCAUGUUGCUAUUCAGUUUCCCACGUAUGAGAGAAUCAAGUUGUUCAUGGCGGAAAAAAAUGAUAAAGAGAUUGAUAAGCUAAGACCUGGGAGUGUAGCAAUUGCCUCCUCAGUUUCCAAAGUACUUGCUUCUGUGAUGACUUAUCCACAUGAGGUUGUCCGUUCAAGGCUGCAAGAGCAAGGGCAGAACAGAAAGGUUGGGAUGCAAUAUGCAGGAGUUGUUGAUUGCAUCAAGAAGGUUUUCCAAAAGGAGGGUCUUCUGGGUUUUUACCGAGGCUGUGCGACAAACCUAUUAAGAACAACUCCAUCCACCGUUAUUACAUUUACCAGUUAUGAGAUGAUAAAAAGGUUCUUGCAUCAAGUUCUACCCCUGGAUAAAGAGCAUUCACAAAAGCAUGCUAAACCUGAUGGGAACAUCGAGCCUUAGCAGAAAAACACAAGAGCUGGGGACAUAGAAAAUGAUGCCACUUUGUGACAAUCACAAAUCCAAUCAAAUAAGAUUACUCCCUCUAUUCCUCUGGGAAACAAGGAUCAGCUAACAGCAAGACAGUGAUUCAUUUUGUUGAAGAAAUCUUCCAUUAAAAAAAAGUUGAACGGCAUAAAUCAACUUUAAGAUUUUUUAUGCUCAGAAAGAGGGGUAUCUGCAUAAGUUUUGUGGCUCAUCAAGCACUAGAUGGCCUAGAAUAAUGAUGGUUUUUGCUUUUCAUUCAAAUGCCAAAGCAAGCUGAUACUUGAAUGCUUUUUUCAUCUUUGACUUUUUCAUGAAUCAUGUGUUUGGUUGGUCCCGCAGAUAACCCAAGUCCCAGUCCAAAGCACUCUUAGAAAAUUUUCCACUCCAAGCAAAGCACCCGGCGUCACAAUCCCUCGUGCCAACAUCUCCCAUAUCUAUAUCAACCCAAUUUCCUCCAUUCAAUGAGUUGAUUUCACAGGGAAAGAUUCGAACGAGACAAGAUUCUAGGUAGACUUAAAUCACCUUGAAUUCUGUAAAGGGUUGUUUGAAUUGAAGAUGGUAUGUGAUUUUUCAAAGAAAUAUGUGAUGGGUCUAAUCUUGUAACUUGUGUUAUAGACCUUUCUAAAUACAGUUAAAUAAAGGCCAAAGGACUAGUUGACACCAA